rnacentral:rRNA from 1 species
AGUUGGAAAGAUAAUAGCUUACAAAGCCGAUGAUCCUUAAUUGGUCUGAGAGGACGUACAAUCACACUAGAACUGAGACAAGGUCUAGACAUCUAAGGAUGGCAGCAGUGGGGAAUCUUGAACAAUGAGCGAAAGCUUGAUUCAGCGAUAUAGAGUGAAUGAUGAAAGCCAUUAGGUUGUAAAGUUCUUUUACCAAGAAAGAUUCUGACUUUACUUGGAGAAAAAGCCCUGGCAAAUUUCGUGCCAGCAGCCGCGGUGAUACGAAAAGGGCUAGUGUUAUUCGGAAUAAUUGGGUGUAAAGGGUGAGUAGGCUGUAAUCAUAGUUAAUUCUUAAAUCUUAGUAGUAAUUACUAAAUCAAUUAUUAAAAACAAAUUACUAGAGUAAAAGAGAGGAUUGUAGAAUUUCAAGUGGAGAAAUAAAAUUCGUAGAUUUUUGAAGGAAUAUCGAAAGCGAAGGCAACAAUCUGGCUUUAUACUGACGCUGAUUCACGAAAGCUUAGGUAGCAACCAGGAUUAGAGACCCUGUUAGUCUAAGCUGUAAACUAUGGAUACUCAUUUUUGGACAAUAAAUGUUCGGAAGUUUAGCUAACGCGUUAAGUAUCCCACCUGAGAAGUACAGUGGCAACGCUGAAACUCAAAGGAAUUGACGGGGGCCCGCACAAGCGGUGGAGUAUGUGGUUUAAUUCGAUGCAACGCGAAGAACCUUACCAGGGCUUGACAUGUCACAAAUCUUUUUGAAAGGAAAGAGUGCCUUCGGGAGUGUGAACACAGGUGGUGCAUGGCUGUCGUCAGCUCGUGUCGUGAGAUGUUGGGUUAAGUCCCGCAACGAGCGUAACCCUUGUCUUUAGUUGCCAUCAUUUAGUUGGGCACUUUAAAGAGACUGCCGGUGAUAAACCGGAGGAAGGUGAGGACGACGUCAAGUCAGCAUGCCCCUUACGCCCUGGGCUACACACGUACUACAAUGGCCGAGACAAAGAGUCGCAAGUUUGCAAGAACAAGCUAAUCUCAUAAACU